rnacentral:rRNA from 1 species
UACGUAGGGUCCGAGCGUUGUCCGGAAUUACUGGGCGUAAAGAGCUCGUAGGUGGUUUGUCGCGUUGUUCGUGAAAACUCACAGCUCAACUGUGGGCGUGCGGGCGAUACGGGCAGACUAGAGUACUGCAGGGGAGACUGGAAUUCCUGGUGUAGCGGUGGAAUGCGUAGAUAUCGGGAGGAACACCAGUGGCGAAGGCGGUUGCCUGGAGCUUUGCUGACGCUGAUGCGCGAAAGCGUGGGGAGCGAUCCGG